GGCCAUAUCAUGUUAAAACACCAGUUGUCGUACAAUCAUCAAAGUUAAGCAAAAUCAAGUCUGAUUAGUACCUAGAUGGGUGACUGCUUGGGAAUACCAGGUGCUGUAAG